UACAGAGACCUCAAGCGUUAUCCGGAAUCAUUGGGCGUAAAGCGUGCCGAUAGGUUGUUUUGAAAGUUUUGGGUAAAAGCCAGAAGCUCAACUUCUGCGUUUGCUCAAAAUACUGCAAGACUAGAGGGGCAAAGAGGUCCUUGGAACGAACGGUGUAGUAGUGAAAUGCGUUGAUAUCGUUCGGAACACCGAAAGCGAAGGCAGAGGACUGGGUGCCACCUGACACUGCUAGGACGAAAGCGUGGGUAGCGAAUGGG
rnacentral:rRNA from 1 species